rnacentral:rRNA from 1 species
UUCAGCAGCUUUAUCACCCUGUCAACCCCACUGAACCUCAGCAGGUGUGAGCCUGGUCAGUACCUAGAUGGGAGACCUCCUGGGGAAAAACUAAGGUUGCUGCUGGAA